rnacentral:rRNA from 1 species
AAUCAACGCUGGCGGCGUGCCUAACACAUGCAAGUCGAGCGCGAAAGGGGAGCAAUCCCCAAGUAGAGCGGCGAACGGGUGAGUAACGCGUGGGUAAUCUGCCUCCGAGUGGGGAACAACAUCGGGAAACUGGUGCUAAUACCGCAUAACAUCGUCGGGUUUUCGGAUCUGACGAUCAAAGCCGGGGACCGCAAGGCCUGGCGCUUGGAGAGGAGCCCGCGUCCGAUUAGCUAGNGGUGGGGUAAUGGCCCACCAAGGCUUCGAUCGGUAGCCGGCCUGAGAGGGCGGACGGCCACACUGGGACUGAGACACGGCCCAGACUCCUACGGGAGGCAGCAGUGGGGAAUCUUGCGCAAUGGGCGAAAGCCUGACGCAGCGACGCCGCGUGAGGGAUGACGGCCU